AGCAGCCGCGGUAAUUCCAGCUCCAAUAGCGUAUAUUAAAGUUGUUGCAGUUAAAAAGCUCGUAGUUGAACUUCGGGAUCAAGGGAUCGGUCAUGCCUUGGUAUGUACUGGUCUUAUUGGUUCUCACCUUCUAAAGAACCAUAAUGUCAUUCAUUUGAUGUUAUGGGGAAUUAGGACUGUUACCUUGAAAAAUUAGAGUGUUUAAAGCAGGCUUACGCUUGAAUACAUUAGCAUGGAAUAAUGAAAUAGGACAUCCGAUUCUAUUUUGUUGGUUUCUAGGAUCGAUGUAAUGAUUAAUAGGGAUAGUUGGGGGCAUUAGUAUUCAAUUGUCAGAGGUGAAAUUCUUGGAUUUAUUGAAGACUAACUACUGCGAAAGCAUUUGCCAAGGAUGUUUUCAUUAAUCAAGAACGAAAGUUAGGGGAUCGAAGACGAUCAGAUACCGUCGUAGUC
rnacentral:rRNA from 1 species